AGAAAAAAAGACCAUUGCUUAAGGAUGUGGACGCUUCUACUACUUUUCCUGGGCCAAGGCUCUGUGUUCAGUGUCCUCGUCUACCAAAAGCCCCAAAGGGUCAUCUGUCAAAGUGGAACCUCGCUGAAAAUCCAGUGUGUGCUUGACAGUCAAGUUGCUGGGAUGUUCUGGUACAGACAGAUCCCAGGACAGAGCUUGGUGUUCAUGGCAGCUGCAAAUGAAGGCUCAGAUGCCACAUAUGAGAACGAAUUCAACAAGGACAAGUUUCCUAUCAGCCGCCCAAGCCUAACAUUCUCCACGUUGACAGUGAGCAAUGCGAGGCCUGAAGACAGCAGCUUCUAUUUCUGCAGUGCUGGAGACACAGUGCUGGUUACAAGUGAGAGAUCUCAGCAAGAACCCCAUCUCCUUCCACCCAGCUCUACUGAGAUGAGCCUAAGGACCCUGCCAAUGUACUCAGCAUGA